AGCUCCAAUAGCGUAUAUUAAAGUUGUUGCAGUUAAAAAGCUCGUAGUUGGAUUUCUGGCGUGAGUCCGGGUCGGCCUUAACGGGUUGCACUGUUGUGACGUCUCGCCGUUUCGAGGGGAAUGGGCUCGCUAUUAGGUUAGUGUGCUCGGGAACCUCGUCGUUUACUGUGAAAAAAUUAGAGUGUUCAAAGCAGGCCUUUGCUGUGAAUACAUUAGCAUGGAAUAAUAAGAUAGGACUGUAGUGCUAUUUUGUUGGUUUGCGUACUAUGGUAAUGAUUAAUAGGGAUAGUUGGGGGUAUUCAUAUUCAAUUGUCAGAGGUGAAAUUCUUGGAUUUAUGGAAGAUGAACUACUGCGAAAGCAUUUACCAAGGAUGUUU
rnacentral:rRNA from 1 species